rnacentral:rRNA from 1 species
AGUGAACGCUGGCGGUAGGCCUAACACAUGCAAGUCGAACGGCAGCACAGGAGAGCUUGCUCUCUGGGUGGCGAGUGGCGGACGGGUGAGGAAUACAUCGGAAUCUACUCUGUCGUGGGGGAUAACGUAGGGAAACUUACGCUAAUACCGCAUACGACCUACGGGUGAAAGCAGGGGACCUUCGGGCCUUGCGCGAUUGACUGAGCCGAUGUCGGAUUAGCUAGUUGGCGGGGGAAAGGCCCACCAAGGCGACGAUCCGUAGCUGGUCUGAGAGCAGAGUCAGCCACACUGGAACUGAGACACGGUCCAGACUCCUACGGGAGGCAGCAGUGGGGAAUAUUGGGCAAUGGGCGCAAGCCUGAUCCAGCCAUACCGCGUGGGUGAAGAAGGCCUUCGGGUUGUAAAGCCCUUUUGUUGGGAAAGAAAUCCAGCUGGCUAAUACCCGGUUGGGAUGACGGUACCCAAAGAAUAAGCACCGGCUAACUUCGUGCCAGCAGCCGCCGCAG